AAUGAACGCUGGCGGCGUGGAUAAGACAUGCAAGUCGAACGAAGAAGGCAUUAGUUUACUAGUAACUUCUUAGUGGCGGACGGGUUAGUAACACGUGAGCAACCUGCCUUGAAGAGGGGGAUAGUCCUGGGAAACUGGGUUUAAUACCGCAUAAUCCUUACGAGGGAAAGCCGGCGCAAGCUGGUGCUUUAAGAUGGGCUCGCGUCCUAUCAGCUAGAUGGUGAGGUAACGGCUCACCAUGGCGACGACGGGUAGCUGUUCUGAGAGGAAGAUCAGCAACACUGGAACUGAGACACGGUCCAGACACCUACGGGUGGCAGCAGUCGAGAAUCAUUCACAAUGGGGGCAACCCUGAUGGUGCAACGCCGCGUGGAGGAAGAAGGUCCUAGGAUUGUAAACUCCUGUCAUCUAAGAGUAAGUCAUAAUCGUUAAGAGCGCAUUAUGAUUGAUAGUAUUAGAAGAGGAAGGGACGGCUAACUUCG
rnacentral:rRNA from 1 species